GACGAACGCUGGCGGCGUGCCUAAUACAUGCAAGUCGAACGCUGAAGGAGGAGCUUGCUUCUCUGGAUGAGUUGCGAACGGGUGAGUAACGCGUAGGUAACCUGCCUGGUAGCGGGGGAUAACUAUUGGAAACGAUAGCUAAUACCGCAUAAUAGUAGAUGUUGCAUGACAUUUGCUUAAAAGGUGCAAUUGCAUCACUACCAGAUGGACCUGCGUUGUAUUAGCUAGUUGGUGAGGUAACGGCUCACCAAGGCAACGAUACAUAGCCGACCUGAGAGGGUGAUCGGCCACACUGGGACUGAGACACGGCCCAGACUCCUACGGGAGGCAGCAGUAGGGAAUCUUCGGCAAUGGACGGAAGUCUGACCGAGCAACGCCGCGUGAGUGAAGAAGGUUUUCGGAUCGUAAAGCUCUGUUGUAAGAGAAGAACGAGUGUGAGAGUGGAAAGUUCACACUGUGACGGUAUCUUACCAGAAAGGGACGGCGAACUACGG
rnacentral:rRNA from 1 species